UCAAGGAAGAGGCACACGCCCCACCGUCAGCACCCAAAGCUGAAAUUCUUUUUAAACUAUUCCCUG
rnacentral:tRNA from 2 species